rnacentral:tRNA from 1 species
ACCACUUUAGUAUACCGUACAAGUGACUUCCAAUCACUAAGCCUUAGACACACCCUAAGAAGUGGUA